UUCUGUAUCAUGUAACUUGCUUAUAUUUCUUUUUAAACCUUUAGGAACUCUCCAGAUCUUUUUUGUUAUGUGAUUGCUGAAGCAUUUUCCUGGCACAGCAGUAAUGAUUGAUGAACACGCUUCAGGGGCUUGCUUUGUGACCUGGGUUAUGAUCUAUGUCUACUACUGAAGCUAUCUUAACUGGUGUGAGAAAUCAAACAAAUCUGUUUGAGACUUCUGGAACAAUAUGAAAAAACAUUGGUACUUAA
rnacentral:lncRNA from 1 species